GACGUAGGGGGCCAGCGUUGUUCGGAAUUACUGGGUGUAAAGGGUUCGUAGGCGGUGUGGCAAGUCGGGAGUGAAAUCUCUGGGCUCAACUCAGAGACUGCUUCCGAAACUGCUGUGCUGGAGUGUGGGAGAGGCGCGUGGAAUUACAGGUGUAGCGGUGAAAUGCGUAGAUAUCUGCAGGAACACCCGUGGCGAAAGCGGCGCGCUGGACCACUACUGACGCUGAGGAACGAAAGCUAGGGGAGCAAACAGG
rnacentral:rRNA from 1 species